AACACUGACGUCGCGACGCAUAUCAAUAAGCGGAGGAAAAGAAACUAACAAGGAUUCCCUUAGUAACGGCGAGUGAAGCGGGAAGAGCUCAAAUUUGAAAUCUUCAAGGUUCUACCUUGACGAAUUGUAGUUUAAAGAAGUGUUUUCUGUUAGAUGAGUAGCAAAAGUUCCUUGGAAUGGGACAUCAUAGAGGGUGAGAAUCCCGUAUUUGGUUAUUCAUUCUAGCUUUGUGAUACACUUUCAAAGAGUCGGAUUGUUUGGGAAUGCAGUCCAAAAUGGGUGGUAAAUUUCAUCUAAAGCUAAAUAUUGGCGAGAGACCGAUAGCGAACAAGUACCGUGAGGGAAAGAUGAAAAGAACUCUGAAAAGAGAGUUAAACAGUACGUGAAAUUGUCAAAAGGGAAGCGUUUGACACCAGUGUUGUUUUUCCGAAAAUCAAUUACGAAUGGCUUGAUUUUGUGUUGUAUUGACCUUAUCAGCUUUCUUCACUUUUUUCGAGUCUUUCUUAAUGCACUUUUCGGUUAACAAGUCAACAUCAAUUUCUUUUGUUGUAAAAGAGUAUUCGGAAGGUGGCUUUCUUUUCGGAGAAAGUGUUUAUAGCCCUAUACUUCUACAAUCGGAGAGAUUGAGGUCUGCAGCGUAGAUCCUUCGGGGUUAGAUACACUUGUGCUAAGUUAGUAGCUUUUCAUAGACAACUUGUUGACUAUGUUUAGUCAUUGUAGGCUUACUCGCUUAUGCUAUUUUACCUACGCUUAGGAUGUUGAGUCGUAGAGCACGCAG
rnacentral:rRNA from 1 species